CCAGCAAUGGCGUCUGUGUAGGUGCUGCAUGGUUGUCGUCAGCUCGUGCCGUGAGGUGUCGGCUUUAAGUGCCAUAACGAGCGCAACCCUUAUCAUUAGUUACUAUCAGGUAAAGCUGAGGACUCUAGUGAGACUGCCGCCGUAAGGUGUGAGGAAGGUGGGGAUGACGUCAAAUCAGCACGGCCCUUACGUCCGGGGCGACACACGUGUUACAUAUGGGGGGUACAGCGGGUUGCUACCACGCGAGUGGAUGCUAAUCUCUGCAAAGCCUCUCUCAGUUCGGAUCGAAGUCUGCAACUCGACUUCGUGAAGCUGGAUUCGCUAGUAAUCGCGCAUCAGCCAUGGCGCGGUGAAUACGUUCCCGGGCCUUGUACACACCGCCCGUCAAGCCAUGGAAGCCGGGGGGACCUGAAGUACGUGACUGUAAAGAGCGUCCUAGGGUAAAACCGGUAACUGGGGCU
rnacentral:rRNA from 1 species